GGACCGGUUGCUAGGAGAGCUCCGCUCGGGAGAGUCAUCGGGCAGGCAGCCAAGGGACGGGAGUCUGCUGAACAUGUUGUACUUCACCCUGACUGAAAUGUCACUGGCAGAAGAAGUUGUCCAAGUAGAUUUUUGUAUGACCACCCAAAGUACUAACAAGUGACAAGAUCUUAAUAGAGGCAAUAUUCAUACUGAAUAGUCCUGCUAACUGAUCAAACAGAGAAGUGGUGUUGGGGAGCUUUGCCUAGGAAUUACUCACCAAAAUUAUUUUGUAGAGGUAUUUUCUUUUUUCAGAAACUGGGUGUGCAAAAUUCUUAGAACGUAACCAGAAAAUGAAACAGAAAGGAAAAAAAAAAAAAAGAAGCCAUUGAAUAACUUAUUUUCAGACAAUCUCUGAUUCUGGAGAAAUUAAUGUCAUGAACCCAGACACAACCUGAAGAUGCACAUGAACAUCAAAUGAAAAUGAAAUUAUUGGGAGGAGAUGAGGUAGACUGGGAGAUCUGUGCCCUACCACUGUAAUCAGCAGAUUUGCCAUCAUCUUCCAGUGGAAAGAAAAUGAAACAUUAAGGCCCUGAACUAGAGCGAAGAUUUUCCACUGGACUUCACAAACAUCCCUCUCCUCAGUGUGAUGCUUGAACAUGGUCAGACUAAAACCUUUUUUCCUCCUCUUGCUUAGUAUGGUGAUAGAAAUGAUAACUCUCUUCCUUUUGUUUGAAGGUGUGUAUAUUUCUAUGGGAUCAAGCUACUGUUUUCCCAGCUGACCUUUAGGGAAUGUGAAAUGCCUUAGACAAGCUGAUACAUAUUUUACUAUCAUCUUAUCUUAAUGAACAAGGAUUACUCUUCAGUCAUCUUGAUAGAAAACAACAAAAAGUUAACCAACAUUCUCCUUUAAUAACUAUAGCCA